rnacentral:rRNA from 1 species
UACGUAGGGAGCGAGCGUUGUCCGGAUUCAUUGGGCGUAAAGAGCUCGUAGGCGGCUUGGUAAGUCGGAUGUGAAACCUCCAGGCUCAACCUGGAGUCGCCAUCCGAUACUGCCAUGGCUAGAGUCCGGUAGGGGCCCACGGAAUUCCUGGUGUAGCGGUGAAAUGCGCAGAUAUCAGGAGGAACACCAAAGGCGAAGGCAGUGUCCUGGGGAGUACCUGACGCUCAGGUGCGAAAGCCAGGGGAGCGAACGGG